GGAGAGGGAGGAGGGAGGAUCCAAGCACCGACGCGAUGCCAGGUCGCCAGCCCCGCUCACGCAUCCUCCUGCCGCCGCCGGGCGCGGCGGCCCCGCGUCCGCCCGCGGAGCCGAAGCGCGGUGGCUCCACCGCACGAGUUUAAGCUGUGAAUGAAAAGCCACUGGAGAAAACUGGAUUGUGUCUGGGGAAUUCAUGUACCUGAUACCCAGACUGUGCACCAGGCUUCAGCACAGCAAUUGCUGCAUACUGCCUCCCUGUGAGAAAGCAAAGGGACGCCUGAGCAUGAAGUAUUUAUGAGAUUGUAACAUCUUCUCUUGUCUUGGUAGAGUGAAAUACACUUCAGAAAUAGAGCUUAGGCAAAAUCAACUUCUAAUAAAAAAUAAAUUCACA